AUACUGUUAAGUUCAUACUUAGCCAUGUUACUGGAGGAAAUGGACUCAGAGUUGAAAGCUACUUAUUAAAAAUGGUUGGACCUUCUACCUAAAUACCAUUUUUUACUAAUACUAAUAUUUUUAAAAUUGAAGCUAAAUGUUAUUAAAAAUGAUUUUCUCAGCCAGACAUGGUAGCACAUGCCUAUAGUCCCAGCUGCUUGAGAGGCUGAGGCAGGAUGAUCACUUGAGCCCAGGAGUUCAAGGCCAACCUGAGCAACACAGCAAGACUCUCUUUUUUAAAAAAAGUAACAUAAAUAUAUUAUCUAAAUUACGUAAGGAAAAAGAUUGUUAAGUAAAAAAUUGCUUAUAGUGAUUGUCUUUAUGUGGAAAAGUUUUGGAUAUUUCUUUUUCACUUCUCCAGAUUUCUUUGUAAUGAUUUAUAUUUGUUUAUAAUACCAGUAACCAAUUUAUUUUGAAAGUAAUGCUCCUGAAUUAAGUAAGAAUCAAUCCUUGAAAUUUUUCUAAAGUUGCCUUAUUUAAACUGGCACUUACUGGAUUUUUAAAAGGUAAACUACAGUUGUAAUAUACUAUUUAAAGUUGGAUAUAAUUAAAAGUAUAAUUAGUAUUAUCUAACACAGAUCUCAAAAAAUACACUAUAUAUGUGCUCCUUUUUUGAAAGUAAAUCUGACUUACCACUUUACUGAUAACGCUUCUCUAGUCUUUGCUUUAAGACACUUCAAAAUGGAGCCCCAAGUAUGUUGAAGUGGGAACUGGGGGAACUUUACUCUUUUGUAGUACUCUUAAAUUGCUAAAGAUUAAACUUGCUCAUGUGGAUACCAUGUGGAGUCAUAACAUGUAACAUAUCUUUACUUUCUGAUUUUAGUAUUUAUGGGACCUGAAGAAUUACUUGUUCUCUGGUGAGACUUUUCAGAUUCGACACAAAAGCAGGGAGAAACUGGUAAGAUUAAAUGAUAGCUACAUUUAUUCAAAGAUUGUACCUUAAAUGGCUUUGAAAGGAUACUACUGUAUUAGGAAUUUUUUCUUCUAUCAUCAAUCUGAAAAAAUAUCCACUUUAUAACUUAUUUGCAACAUUAAUACAGAUACAACCCUCUGUCGAGAGAAUUCUGAGAGUAUCUUACCACAGCUCUCCGGAGCAUACUGUUUUGCACCUCUUCUGUGAAGGCCAGCAGAAUAGCUUCUUGUAAGGUACUCUUUUAAGUAGUACAACUCAGAACAAUCUUUUUACAAUUGUUCUGUAUAAAUAUCCUGGAUACUACAUGGUAACUAUAGUACCACUUGAUAGUAUCCAUCUGUUUUUUGGGGGAAGAUUUCUUACCUACGGGUCAGGGCUAUUGUCACAGUCAUGGGAGGGAAAUCAAGUAAAUAUGCAUUAAAUGUACUAUGUAUCAAAUACGUAGCAUCACAGUGUGCAAGAUUGGAUGGUGAAUACUUGGUACCCCAACCCAUAAGUCAGAGUAUUUUGUUCUUGCUUAAAUUACCAAGUGCUGUAUGUUUUGAUUUUUAAAAAGUUUUUCUCUUCUGAAAAUGAAUGUUUUUAAAAGUGAUGUCAAGCAAUUUCACACAAAUAAUGAACAUCACAAUAAUCUGUUUAAGAACUCCUUUGUCAGAUACGUACAGUGUUUUCUGGAUGGCUUCUCGUGUGCUUCAAAGACCCUCUUACUCUUUGCUAUGUUCUCUGUUAAUGGAAACUGAAGUUUGUAAGAGUUUUAGGCCAAACGUAAGAGGUAGGUAUACCAUUGUGUUUUUUUGCUCAGAAAUUGUUAGCUACUUCCUCUGUUGUAAAACAAAGAUGACAAAAUUACAUACUCCGCCUUGUAUAAUAGCAAAUAGACACUUCUAUCUUUGUAAAGUUUUUCUAAGAACUUAUUAGUUCUUGACACUGAUAAAUUGUUUUCCAUGGUUGCAGUGUUACAAGGUACACAGAGAUUUUGACUUUUCAUAAUUACUACUCUAGAAAAGAAUGUUUUGUGGGGCAUAUUGUUAUAAGGUUUCAGUUCUCUGAUAGCUUUAUUAAAAAGGGUUCUUUGAGCUUGGGACAGAUAUUGUCAUUUGCUUCCCCUCCUCUCUCUGCUGUGGUCCAGCUGUCUCUGUAACAAUGCUCGACUAUUCUCAGGUGUCUCCAAUAAUGCAAAAGACGAGUAUGAGUAGUGAGGGCCAGGUGUGCUUUUUCUAUGAAUUUAGCAUUUCCUCCAAACCUGUCAGCAUUUGAACUCUGGCAAAAUGAAAUCCCUCAAAUGGACUCAAGCCAUUUUGAGCUUGUCUUUGACUAGAAAGUGAAACUGAACCUAUAUUAUCAUCUUUCUUCACUAGUGGGAGCACUAGUUCCACUCAGCCAGGCCUCAGGAUCUCCUUAAAUGUAUUCCUCCAGAGAAAAUAAGGUAGUUUUCAGGUUCACUCAUUGGCUCAGGUUGGCCACUCCUUUUUUCUUUGGAAGGAAUAUUGAAGAAUCUGUAGUAGGGGAUAAUUGCACUGCAAUUGUAAUUUUGCUACAUACUGAAAAAACUUAGGCACGGCUACUUACCUAAACCAUUUCCACUUUCCUUGAAAGAAAUCUUUCUACCUAAUAUAGUAACACUUAAUUGACUAAAGCAGAACAGCAGUGUAUUUUACUUUUUUAAAAAUGGAGUAAUAAAUUUUCAGUGACAUUUGGAGGUACGGAUAAUCAUAUAAAUUUAAAAACCUGUCUUUACAAAAUUACUGCUUGUGCAUGUAAUAGAACACUUUUGUUUGGUUUUUUGUUUUUUGUUUUUUUAAAGCUUAGAAUGUCAGGGAAGAGCCCAAUAAAUUGAAACUCAUUCGAGAUCAUUUACAAUAUUUGAUUGUUUUUAUUUUUUGAUUCUUAACCCAGAUCCCUCCUUUGAAAAGCACAGAAUCAAGUUCCAGCAAACCUUUCAUGGUGCUCUUAGUUUCUACAUUAUGUGAUUGCUUUGGACAUUUGAUAGUUUUUAUUUGCAUGCUAUUCUUUUUUAAUGAGAUUUUUCAAUAGUAUUUCUCAAACUUUAGCCAUUCAGCUGAAAUAAAUCUGAUGUGACUGCCUCUAUACAAAUUGCCACUAUAUAAAAGAAACUGAGGUACCAGAGGGUAACAUUUUCACCAAAAAAAAAGAAAAAAA
ensembl:lncRNA